ACUUGUUUAAAUGCGUUCAUUAAUUCUUUAUUAGCGCCUUGGAAAUUAGUCCCAUUAUCGCUAUAUAAAUUCGUAGGCAAUCCGCGGCGAGACGUGAAGCGUUCAAAUGCUGCUAGAAACGCUGAAGUGGAGUAGUCGCGCACCAAUUCGAGGUGGAUAGCGCGAGUCGCCAAACAAACAAAAAGAGCGAUGUAAACCUUUUGCGCCCUUUGCCCACGUCCACGAUACGCGAGAGCAGAGAACGGUCCUGCGUAAUCCAGGCCGCAAUGGACGAACGCUCGAGAUGGAGUGACUCUCACCGCAGCUUCCUUCGGGACCGUAGGCUUACUUUCUGGCCACUCAUUAGGAGCUUGUAUAAGCCAGGAAGGGCCGUGCCACCAAAGGGUAUGUUGAAGCAGCUGUGACACCGAUAGACCACGAGAGGCGCAGUCAGCGGGAUUAUGACCCGAAGCAGUUCCGUCACCUGCUGACGUAAUUGGAGCGCCAGUACGCGAUCAUCCGCCCCGAAAAGUGCAUCGUCCACGUAAAUGCAGUCAUUUAAGAUUGGGACAGCCAACGGGAAAUUAGUUCCUUCGUCCAAAGCGAGCUGCUUAAUUACGCGAUUAGCGAGAAAGGGAGCUGGCGCCGUACCAUAAGUGACGGAGCUGUUUUCUUCACCGCGCGAAGACGCCAACGAUUCUAAGGUGCGAAUACGUACAUUUAUAAACGCAUCCCAAUCAGCGAGGGAUGGAUACAACUCGUCUUCGCCCAUACGCAUCUCCCACUCCCGAUGGGACUCUUUAUCCAGCUUACGGACAAAAUGAAAAAUGAGCACAUCGUCCCAGUAUUCGACCGGACGCGAUAAAUUCUUUAAUGCCGUUAAAGCGGCGCGAGAUCUAUCACGUAAGCUUCUUAGAUCGUUUAAAACGGCAGAUCCGAUCGGGGGUAAAGCUGCCGUCAGAGCGUCGAGGGCAGAGAGGAAGGCCGCUUCCGUAUUGCCGAAGAUGUCCUCGGAGAAGUAGGAAUUUGUCCUGGUCUCCUCCUCAGUUGCAGCAACCUCAAUCUGGAUGUGCGUGGCUUGGAAUUUGUUCCAGUAGUCCUUCAGCAAAGAGAGACGUCCGCGAAUCACAGCAGGGGUGUGAUUAGCCUUCCCCAGUUUUUUAAA